CUCGGCCUCCCAAAUUGCUGGGAUUACAGGUGUGAGCCACCAUGCCUGGACUGAUUAGCAUUAAAAAUAUAUAAAUGAACAAACAAAGCAGAACAGAAUAGCAUAGGCUAGAAAAUAGUGUGCAUGUAGUAAAGGUAAGGAAGCUCACAAGGGCAUAUGUCUAUGUAUCUAUAUCAACCACAUAAACCUCUGUGUGUACUGGUUUGCGAUGUAAACUAUAUUUCCUUUUGUAGGCCAUGGUGGAAAAAAGUGUGAAAGCUCUUGAGUUAGAGACUCAUACAAAAUGGUGAGGGCCAAGAGGAAUGAGUGUCUGCCUAGGGACUAACUAGCAUCUAGCUGGAGUGAACUGGUACAAUUUUGGUUUGUCACCAAGAGAAGGCUUUUAAAGGAUUAUGAUGAUGAUGACAAGAACUGGAUGUUAUACAAAAUAAUCAGCCCCAGAAACAUAGAAAAAUAACAACCAGAUAUUUAUGUUUUCUGUUUCUUCACCCAUCAUGUGUGUCAGACUGUAAAAAUAACAGGGUCUUUAACAAGUUCUCCUUCACUGUAGGUUACAGCCAAGGAGAAAACACUAGUGUAUGUUGAAAUAGAAUAAUUACGCUGGGCGCCGUGGCUCAUGCCUGUAUCCCAGCACUUUGGGAGGCCAAGGAGGGGAGAUCAUGAGGUCAGGAGAUCAAGAUCAUCCUGGCUAACAUGGUGAAACCCCAUCUCUACUAAAAUACAAAAUAUUAGCCAGGCGUGGUGGCGCACACCUGUAGCCCCAGCUACUCAAGAGGCUGAGGCAGGGGAAUCGCUUGAAUCCGGGAGGCGGAGGUUGCAGUGAGCCAAGAUCGCACCACUGCACUCCAGCCUGGGUGACAGAGCGAGACUGGAGUGCAGUGGUUCAAUCAUGGCUCACUGCAGCCUCUAUCUCCUGGGUUCCAGUGGUCCUCCCACCUCAGUCUCCGGAGUAGUUGGGACUACAGGCAUGUGCCACCAUGCCUGGCCAAUUUGUGUAAUUUUUUUGUAGAGACGGGGUUUUGCCAUGCUGCCCAGGCUGGCCUCAAACUCCUGGGCUCAAGCAAUCCACCUGCCUUGGCCUCCCGAAGUGUUAGGAUUACAGGUGUGAGCCACGGCACCUGGCCAGGGCAUGAUUUUUUAUCUCAUUUAGAAACAAAGGUAAUAGUUCAUGAGAAACUGCUUCAUGAACCAAAAGGUAUCCUGUAAGUAUUCACCAUUUUCAUUAUUGUCAAUGCUAAUACAUUAUUUUCAAGUAAAAUACUAAAAGUAACACACCUGUAACCCUAGCACUUUGGGAGGCCAAGGUGAGAGGAUUGCUUGAGUCCAGGAGUUUGAGACCAGCCUGGGCAACAUAGCAAGACCCCAUCUCUAUUAUUUUUACAAAAAAAAUUAAAAUAAAUAAAUUAAAAGUAAAUGAAAGUGUAUUCAAUGUUUCCUGAUUAUGUGGUUUUGUACACAUCUUAAUUCCAAACCAAGGACUCAGGUUUAACUAACAUGUUCAAGGAUCAACAUUCAUAAUAAGGCAGAGAGUUUAAUCACAAUUGUUCUUUGUAACAGAAGUGUGGGUGGACUC
rnacentral:lncRNA from 1 species